rnacentral:sRNA from 1 species
UCAUUAUCAAGACACUAAUGAAACGCAUGAUAUAGAUAAUGAAACAACAAUAAGUGUCACUCCAAGUGGUAGCACAAUUAAAGACACAAAAAAUGAUGAAUUGAACAAUGCUCAUUAUCGUGACAUUAAUGAAACGCAUGAUAUAGAUAAUGAAACAACAAUAAGUGUCACCCCAAGUGGUAGCACAAUUAAUGACACAAAAAAUGAUGAAUUGAAUAAUGCUCAUUAUCAAGACACUAAUGAAACGCAUGAUAUAGAUAACGAAACAACAAUAAGUGUCACUCCAAGUGGUAGCACAAUUAAUGACACAAAAAAUGAUGAAUUGAACAAUGCUCAUUAUUUUGACACCAAUGAAACGCAUGAUAUAGAUAAUGAAACAACAAUAAGUGUCACUCCAAGUGGUAGCACAAUUAAUGACACAAAAAAUGAUGAGUUGAACAAUGCUCAUUAUCAAGACACUAAUGAAACGCAUGAUAAAGAUAAUGAAACAACAAUAAGUGUCACUCCAAGUGGUAGCACAAUUAAUGACACAAAAAAUGAUGAAUUGAAAAAUGCUCAUUAUCGUGACAUUAAUGAAACGCAUGAUAUAGAUAAUGAAACAACAAUAAGUGUCACUCCAAGUAGUAGCACAAUAAUUGACACAAAAAAUGAUGAAUUGAACAAUGCUCAUUAUCAAGACACUAAUGAAACGCAUGAUAAAGAUAAUGAAACAACAAUAAGUGUCACUCCAAGUGGUAGCACAAUUAAUGACACAAAAAAUGAUGAAUUGAACAAUGCUCAUUAUCGUGACAUUAAUGAAACGCAUGAUAUAGAUAAUGAAACAACAAUAAGUGUCACUCCAAGUAGUAGCACAAUAAUUGACACAAAAAAUGAUGAACUGAACAAUGCUCAUUAUCAAGACACUAAUGAAACGCAUGGUAUUGAUAACAAAACAACAAUAAGUGUCACCCCAAGUGGUAGCACAAUUAAUGACACAAAAAAUGAUGAAUUGACCAAUGCUCAUUAUCAAGACACUAAUGAAACGCAUGAUAUAGAUAAUGAAACAACAAUAAGUGUCACUCCAGGUGGUAACACAAUUAUUGACACAAACAAUGGUGAAUUGAGCGAAUACCAUCAUCAUAAUACCAAUAAUAUGCAAGAUUAUGAAUCAAAUUUUGGGAUGAAUGAUGAUACACCAGAGGACUUAAUCCUAGAGAACUUUGAGUUUUCAAUUACGCUGUCUAGGUCUGUAGUUCGUUGUUUGAGUCCAAUUGACCCACGUUCACUAUCUAGGUCCAUUGCAGUUGAAAGUCAUAUAGAAUCGAGAGGAAAUGUAAUGUUAUAUUAGAAAUAACAUUCUCUCCCUAUUUUU